UUUCGUUCUUCUUCAGCCAUGAAACCGAGAGAGGAGAUCGAGACAGAGAAGAUUAAUGGAAGAUGAUUGAAGAUAGAAAUUGAAAAGGAUUCGAAGUAGAAGAUGUGAAUGCUGCCAUCGAUUAACAACAGGAAGAAUGGAAAUGCUCGCUGCUGUUUGAAGUGAAGAGUUAGGGUUUUGUUUCUGAAGAAUUAGGGUUCGUAGGAGUUGAACUAAUGUGGUUAAAUCUGGAGGAGAUGGGUUGAGAAUCUAAGAAGAAAUUGGUGUUACUGUUACCAUGGGUUGAGAACCAAUCGAGAAAUUAAUUAAAAAGAGGAUUUAGGGUUGUAUUUUAAGGUUUCUGAGAAUCAAUGAUGGUGAUGAAGAAUUUAUUAGGUGUUGGUUGAAUUGAAAUGGGAAAUUGUUGAUGGUCUUGAGAUGGGUAGCUGAAUCGAAUGAAAGUGAAGGAGCAAUUGAUAUCAGUUGCUUGAGUGGAACUCAUUUGAGGUAAUGGUUUUUCUUGGUUAACUGAGUAAAGUUAUAUAUAUUCAGUUCUGAGUUUACGUGAAUUAUUAAUGGAGUUGUAAUUAAGUUUGUGAUUGAAUUCAAGGGAGUGGUACAGAUUGAAGAUGCAACAGAAAUUAGAAGUAAAGGGUUUGGUCAGAGAUUAGAAGAUGAGAAUCGAACAAAAGUUGUAGGGAUGUUGGGUUGAAAUCUGAAGUAGUAAUGGGUUGGAAGUCAGAGUGAGAAAUGGGUAUUGCAGGUUGAGCCGAGAUGGUGCAGUGCCUAUUGUUCUAAGCUUGUGUUAAAUUCAGUAAUGGUGAUUUGAAAUUGUCAAUUGAGGUUUUGGUGAGAAUAGUUGCAGCCGGAGCUACAGGGAGUGAUUGAUUGGUGUUGCAGGUGUUUUGAGUUGAUCUGUACAGGCAGUUGAGAUGCAGUUACUAGUUUGGAUACUGUUGUUUUCAGCUAUGAAACUACGGGGUUGCAGUUGAAGAUAGAGGAGUUACGCUGGGUUGCAGUCAGGGAAUGUGCAAAAUGAAUGUGACUGUAGGAAGAAUGACAAUGGCUUGAGCAAGGAGCUGCUUACUGUUUUGAAGUUAGCUCUGAGAUGUUUGAAUGGUUGCAGCUGAAGUUGUGAAAGAGAUGGUGCAGGACAAGUCUGAACAGUGCAGGUGCAGUGGCUCGGGUUGCAGUUUUGAAGUCGUCGUUGUUGAAGUUGAGAUGAAGAAUGAGAAGGUGAUGUUGAAUCUGUUGCCUCGCAGCUUCCCGCAAAGUUGCGAAAGACUUUAUAUUGGAUUUGCAGAGUGGAACUCUGGACAUUGGCCCAGGUGUAAGUCCUAGAUUAGCAAGAAAAUCAGGAAACGGAAGUGAUCCCAACUCUGAGGAUGAAGCAGAAAUUGGCAGCAAAAGAAGAAGACACGGCAGAGGACCUGCGAAAGAGAAUGACAUUCUUUCAGCGUUAUUGCACUAGCAGGUUUUAUGUACUUUUCAUUAGGAUGGAGGGAAGCAUAAAGCAAGGCUUGUCGAGGAGGAGAAACCCGAACUUCCAGCCAAUAAGGAGUCAUCGAGUUUGCCAAGAUUCUAUAUGGGCAUCUCGAAGCUGUAGUGUUACAGAACUUAAGAAAACAUCGGACUCAGUGAGCACAAAUUUUCCUAACUUAGAGAGCCUAUUCUUUGAAUCUCUUGAAACAGGAACCUUGGCUCUGGCACUAGUGGACAUCAACUGGAAGUUUUGACCUUACUGACUGCAUGCAUCUUAAAGAAGUGGAAGUGGGUCGAGUUUUGGUAUAAAUUCCUUAAGCUUGUUGUACAGGUGGGAAUAUGGUUGGAUACACAAAGCUCUUUCAUGCUGCUGAGUUUGUCCACAAGCAUGUGAGAUUGAAACACCUGGACCUCGUGAUGGAUCUGACUUCUAAAGUGCUUGAAGAGUUAUAUUUUUACCAUUACAUGAAUGAUACAGAUGCUCCCGGUGGUCAGCCUGUCAUGCAGCAACCACUUCCGAGAGAUAUGCCACAACGGGGUAGGAUGGAUAACCAAACCAACGGCUAAGAGACGAUCAUGGGAACUAUCAUCGCAGAGAUCAGGAGAGGAUUGAUAGAAAUGGUGGUGGUGGUGAUGAUGAUGAAAGGUUUGACAAGACGGAGAAUUCGCCAUCUCGAGAUGUCCAGUCGGACACAACAGGUGGUGGUGGAGAUCCUGACGAACCAAUCUAUGAUACUUAUGGUGGAGCUGGAGGACCUGGCUUGCAUGGUGCUCAAUUCCCAUCUGAUCUAGCUCCACCUCCCCCAGUAUUGAUGCAUGUUCCUGGUGCUGGGCCACUAGGACCUUUUGUCCCUGCUCCGCCCGAAGUUGCAAUGCGAAUGCUGAGGGAGCAGGGUGGUGGUCCUUUCGAAGGAACUGUUGCUAGGAAUGAGCGGGUUGGACCCACUCCAAUAAUUGCUGUAUCUCCAGCCUUUCGGACGGAUCCCCAACGCGUUCGUAGUUAUCAGGUUCUGGAUGCCCCAGAAGAUGAAGUCACCGUUAUAGAUUACCGAAGUUUAUAGAUCUUCUCGUUGUGUCAAGAAUUCAAAGAUCUGUGGAUUCUGCAUCUGCUUAUAGGUCAUAGAGGAUGUGUUGGCUUCUCUCGGGUGGAGAUUUCGAGUGGAAUUUAGUGCACUGUUUACUGAAAGCGGGUGUCAUUUUUGCUUUUCUUCUGCUGUAUUAGACGACUGGGGUUUUGUGUUAUUCUUCGUAAUGGUAGUAAUAUGCUGAAUAAUAAUGUUUUUUUGCUA